CCUACGGGAGGCAGCAGUAGGGAAUAUUGGACAAUGGGCGCAAGCCUGAUCCAGCCAUCCCGCGUGAAGGAUUAAGGCCCUCUGGGUUGUAAACUUCUUUUCUCUGGGAAUAAAAACCGGUAUUCAUAUUGGCUUGAAGGUACCAGAGGAAUAAGCACCGGCUAACUCCGUGCCAGCAGCCGCGGUAAUACGGAGGGUGCAAGCGUUAUCCGGAUUCACUGGGUUUAAAGGGUGCGUAGGUGGCUUUGUAAGUCAGUGGUGAAAUGCCGCAGCUCAACUGCGGAACUGCCAUUGAUACUGCUUAGCUUGAAUCACGUCGAGGUGGAUGGAAUAAUACAUGUAGCGGUGAAAUGCUUAGAUAUGUAUUAGAACACCGAUUGCGAAGGCAGUUCACUAGGCGUGUAUUGACACUGAGGCACGAAAGCGUGGGGAUCAAACAGGAUUAGAUACCCUGGUAGUCCACGCCCUAAACGAUGUAAACUCGACAUUAGCGAUAUACUGUUAGUGUCCAAGCGAAAGCGUUAAGUUUACCACCUGGGAAGUACGACCGCAAGGUUGAAACUCAAAUGAAUUGAGNGNGAGAGNGCGAGACGACGACGAGGAGGAGG
rnacentral:rRNA from 1 species